rnacentral:rRNA from 1 species
UACAGAGGGUGCGAGCGUUAAUCGGAAUUACUGGGCGUAAAGCGUGCGCAGACGGUCAUGUAAGUCGGGUGUGAAAGCCCCGGGCUCAACCUGGGAAUUGCAUUCGAGACUGUGUGGCUAGGGUGCGGAAGAGGGAAGCGGAAUUUCCGGUGUAGCGGUGAAAUGCGUAGAUAUCGGAAGGAACACCAGUGGCGAAAGCGGCUCCUGGUCCAGCACCGACGUCAGGCACGAAAGCGUGGGGAGCAAACAGG